rnacentral:rRNA from 1 species
AACGAACGCUGGCGGCAUGCCUAACACAUGCAAGUCGAACGAGACCUUCGGGUCUAGUGGCGCACGGGUGCGUAACGCGUGGGAACCUGCCCUUAGGUUCGGAAUAACUCCCCGAAAGGGGUGCUAAUACCGGAUAAUGUCUUCGGACCAAAGAUUUAUCGCCUUUGGAUGGGCCCGCGUUGGAUUAGCUAGUUGGUAGGGUAAAAGCCUACCAAGGCGACGAUCCUUAGCUGGUCUGAGAGGAUGAUCAGCCACACUGGGACUGAGACACGGCCCAGACUCCUACGGGAGGCAGCAGUGGGGAAUAUUGGACAAUGGGCGAAAGCCUGAUCCAGCAAUGCCGCGUGAGUGAUGAAGGCCUUAGGGUUGUAAAGCUCUUUUACCCGGGAUGAUAAUGACAGUACCGGGAGAAUAAGCGCCGGCUAACUCCGUG